AUCCUCUCAGGGUCACACCUGGAGAGUUUCCAGUACUCUACCAGUCUUGACUACAGGAGGAAGAGUCAAGCAGAGGCCUACAGAUUCCAUUCCUAGCUUGGGCAGUAGCUAGUGAGUGGAAGGCCAUCUGCUACAAGU
rnacentral:snoRNA from 1 species